GAGGAGGGCCGGUUUGGAGAAAGGCCACCUGGUGCACCUGGUCCACCUGAUCCACCUGGUGCACCUGGUCCACCUGAUCUACCCGGUGCACCUGGCCCACUCCGUCCACCUGGUCCACCCCGUCCACCUGGUCCACCCGGUGCACCUGGUCCACCCGGUUGCAACCCCGAGAACGACCUCGCGGGAGCGCGGACGCCCGGGUGCCCACCAGGGGGCGGCGUAGACCCGGCACAUUAUACGCGUUUGGGGUUUUCUUCACCUUCCCCGUCCGCGGUGGUGGCCCUGCGCGUCCUGGAGCUGCGGCUACCGGAACAGGGUCGGUGCCCCCCGGGAGGCGCGGGCCAGGGACUCCUCCAAGGGGGUCGCACCCGGAUCCGCAAACCGCCUCGGGCUGCCGACUCCGGCAGCCCGCGACCCUGCGAGUCGGGGUGCCGGGCAGCGUGUGGGUGCUACGCCCUCGGGGCGCCCAGGGUCACCCGCGGCCUGGCCCGCCCCGACCCCCCCGGUCACCGACAAGCCGGGGCGCGCACGGAGCUCCCGCGUCACCUGCAGGCCAGCUCCCUCCGAACCCGUCAGCCGAGCGGCACGCGGAGCCCCGGCCCAGCUCGCCCGCGGGAGCCCCGCUCCUCCCACGGACUCCCCGCUCCAGGCCGGGGACCCAGCCUCCGCGGAACCCCGCGACCGGGCGAGGUCGCUCCACCGCCAGCCUCCACCCUGCGGCCCGCGGAGCAGAGGGGGCGGGCACCGGGCGGGGGCGGGGCGACGGGCGGGCGGGCGGGGCGGGGCGGGACGGAGGGGCGGGGCGACGGGCGGGCGGGGGCGGGGCUGGGCGGGGGCGGGGGCGGGGCCGAGGGCGGGACGGAGGGGCGGGCGGGGGCGGGGCUGGGCGGGGGCGGGGCCAAGCCCCCCCGGACCCCGUGCGUAAACCCGGGUUCCCAGACCCUUCAAGUGUUUCGGCAGAAGUGUCAGGGCCCCGUGGCUGUAUUUUUGGCAAGAACUGAGGACACGGACGGCGCUCGCAGACGUCAGAGGGUAGACACCGGCACGGACAAGGACUGUCGUCGGGGCCGCGGGACACCUGCUGCGCGCCGGGCCACCGCCCCGCCCCGCCCCCGCCACGCCCCGCCCCCAGCCCCAGCCCCGCCCCGCCCCGCCCCCGCCCCGCCCCCGCCCCGCCCCCAGCCCCGCGGCCCUCCCGUCGAGGGCACAGCCCCCCGCCCCGGACGCGGCCACCCAGGCCUGCGGUGCGCACCCCGGCCCCGUCACAGCCGCGUCGGAAUGUCACGGACGAGGGCGAGCAGCGCGUCCAAAAAGCCUUCGUGGAGGACGGCCGCGGCGGGCUAA
rnacentral:lncRNA from 1 species